rnacentral:rRNA from 1 species
UGAGGAAUAUUGGUCAAUGGGCGAGAGCCUGAACCAGCCAAGUAGCGUGAAGGAUGACUGCCCUAUGGGUUGUAAACUUCUUUUAUAAAGGAAUAAAGUCGGGUAUGCAUACCCGUUUGCAUGUACUUUAUGAAUAAGGAUCGGCUAACUCCGUGCCAGCAGCCGCGGUAAUACGGAGGAUCCGAGCGUUAUCCGGAUUUAUUGGGUUUAAAGGGAGCGUAGGUGGACAUGUAAGUCAGUUGUGAAAGUUUGCGGCUCAACCGUAAAAUUGCAGUUGAAACUGCGUGUCUUGAGUACAGUAGAGGUGGGCGGAAUUCGUGGUGUAGCGGUGAAAUGCUUAGAUAUCACGAAGAACUCCGAUUGCGAAGGCAGCUCACUGGACUGCAACUGACACUGAUGCUCGAAAGUGUGGGUAUCAAACAGGAUUAGAUACCCUGGUAGUCCACACAGUAAACGAUGAAUACUCGCUGUUUGCGAUAUACAGUAAGCGGCCAAGCGAAAGCAUUAAGUAUUCCACCUGGGGAGUACGCCGGCAACGGUGAAACUCAAAGGAAUUGACGGGGGCCCGCACAAGCGGAGGAACAUGUGGUUUAAUUCGAUGAUACGCGAGGAACCUUACCCGGGCUUAAAUUGCAAAUGAAUAUGCCGGAAACGGCAUAGCCGCAAGGCAUUUGUGAAGGUGCUGCAUGGUUGUCGUCAGCUCGUGCCGUGAGGUGUCGGCUUAAGUGCCAUAACGAGCGCAACCCUUAUCUUCAGUUACUAACAGGUCAUGCUGAGGACUCUGGAGAGACUGCCGUCGUAAGAUGUGAGGAAGGUGGGGAUGACGUCAAAUCAGCACGGCCCUUACGUCCGGGGCUACACACGUGUUACAAUGGGGGGUACAGAAGGCCGCUACACAGCGAUGUGAUGCCAAUCCCUAAAGCCCCUCUCAGUUCGGAUCGAAGUCUGCAACCCGACUUCGUGAAGCUGGAUUCGCUAGUAAUCGCGCAUCAGCCACGGCGCGGUGAAUACGUUCCC